AGUGAACGCUGGCGGUAGGCCUAACACAUGCAAGUCGAACGGCAGCACAGUAAGAGCUUGCUCUUACGGGUGGCGAGUGGCGGACGGGUGAGGAAUACAUCGGAAUCUACUUUUUCGUGGGGGAUAACGUAGGGAAACUUACGCUAAUACCGCAUACGACCUACGGGUGAAAGCAGGGGAUCUUCUGACCUUGCGCGAUUGAAUGAGCCGAUGUCGGAUUAGCUAGUUGGCGGGGUAAAGGCCCACCAAGGCGACGAUCCGUAGCUGGUCUGGGAGGAUGGUCAGCCACACUGGAACUGAGACACGGUCCAGACUCCUACGGGAGGCAGCAGUGGGGAAUAUUGGACAAUGGGCGCAAGCCUGAUCCAGCCAUACCGCGUGGGUGAAGAAGGCCUUCGGGUUGUAAAGCCCUUUUGUUGGGAAAGAAAAGCAGCAGGUUAAUACCCCGCUGUUCUGACGGUACCCAAAGAAUAAGCACCGGCUAACUUCGUG
rnacentral:rRNA from 1 species